rnacentral:rRNA from 1 species
UACGUAGGGUCCGAGCGUUGUCCGGAAUUACUGGGCGUAAAGAGCUCGUAGGUGGUUUGUCGCGUUGUUCGUGAAAACUCGCAGCUCAACUGUGGGCGUGCGGGCGAUACGGGCAGACUGGAGUACUGCAGGGGAGACUGGAAUUCCUGGUGUAGCGGUGGAAUGCGCAGAUAUCAGGAGGAACACCGGUGGCGAAGGCGGGUCUCUGGGCAGUAACUGACGCUGAGGAGCGAAAGCGUGGGGAGCGAACAGG